GAGAAGUAUGAUUAGUCGUCGUUAAAAUUGGAACGAUACAGAGAAGAUUAGCAUGGCGCCUUAGCAAGGAUGACAUGAACAAAUCGAGGAAAGUGUGAUUAGUCUUU